rnacentral:lncRNA from 1 species
CAGGAGUUUGAGACCAACCUGGCCAACAUGGUGAAACCCUGUCUCUACUAAAAGUACAAAAAUUAGCAGGGCGUGGUGGUGCAUGCUGGUAAUCCUAGCUACUUGGGAGGCUGAGGCAGGGAGAAUCGCUUAAGCCCGGGAGGUGGAGGUUGCAGUGAGCUGAGAUCAUGCCAUUGCACUCCAGCUUGGGUGACAGAGCAAGACUGUCAAAAAAAAAAAAAAAAGGCCCCAAAACAAAAAAUCCCAAAUGUAGUAGGGCAUGGUGUCAUGCACCUGUGGUCCCAGCUACUUGAGAAGCUGAGGUGGGAGGAUCGCUUGGGCCUGAGAGAUGGAGGCUGCAGUGAGCUGUGAUUGUGCCACUGCACUCCAGAGCAGUGACAGAGUAAGCAAGGGGCAGGAGACAGAACACACUAGUUUAUACUUCACAGAACUCUUACCUGGCCCAAGUGGACUCAAUAGGUUAUAAAAAGGACUGCCCUGAUGAUUCCUAUUAACAUAUAAAUAUUGCCAGGUAUGAGAUGAAAGCAGAAAGACUUCAGUGUACAUUUAUUGAGUCUGACAUUUUUCUCUCACCUGAUAGAGACACCUGCCUGGGCUGAGUGAGGUGGGCAAGGACAGUGGGAGAAGUGGGAAUUGAAGCUA